rnacentral:rRNA from 1 species
AGAGUUUGAUCCUGGCUCAGGAUGAACGCUAGCUACAGGCUUAACACAUGCAAGUCGAGGGGCAGCAUGGUCUUAGCUUGCUAAGGCCGAUGGCGACCGGCGCACGGGUGAGUAACACGUAUCCAACCUGCCGUCUACUCUUGGACAGCCUUCUGAAAGGAAGAUUAAUACAAGAUGGCAUCAUGAGUCCACAUGUUCACAUGAUUAAAGGUAUUCCGGUAGACGAUGGGGAUGCGUUCCAUUAGAUAGUAGGCGGGGUAACGGCCCACCUAGUCUUCGAUGGAUAGGGGUUCUGAGAGGAAGGUCCCCCACAUUGGAACUGAGACACGGUCCAAACUCCUACGGGAGGCAGCAGUGAGGAAUAUUGGUCAAUGGGCGAGAGCCUGAACCAGCCAAGUAGCGUGAAGGAUGACUGCCCUAUGGGUUGUAAACUUCUUUUAUAAAGGAAUAAAGUCGGGUAUGGAUACCCGUUUGCAUGUACUUUAUGAAUAAGGAUCGGCUAACUCCGUGCCAGCAGCCGCGGUAAUACGGAGGAUCCGAGCGUUAUCCGGAUUUAUUGGGUUUAAAGGGAGCGUAGAUGGAUGUUUAAGUCAGUUGUGAAAGUUUGCGGCUCAACCGUAAAAUUGCAGUUGAUACUGGAUAUCUUGAGUGCAGUUGAGGCAGGCGGAAUUCGUGGUGUAGCGGUGAAAUGCUUAGAUAUCACGAAGAACUCCGAUUGCGAAGGCAGCCUGCUAAGCUGCAACUGACAUUGAGGCUCGAAAGUGUGGGUAUCAAACAGGAUUAGAUACCCUGGUAGUCCACACGGUAAACGAUGAAUACUCGCUGUUUGCGAUAUACGGCAAGCGGCCAAGCGAAAGCGUUAAGUAUUCCACCUGGGGAGUACGCCGGCAACGGUGAAACUCAAAGGAAUUGACGGGGGCCCGCACAAGCGGAGGAACAUGUGGUUUAAUUCGAUGAUACGCGAGGAACCUUACCCGGGCUUAAAUUGCAGAUGAAUUACGGUGAAAGCCGUAAGCCGCAAGGCAUCUGUGAAGGUGCUGCAUGGUUGUCGUCAGCUCGUGCCGUGAGGUGUCGGCUUAAGUGCCAUAACGAGCGCAACCCUUGUUGUCAGUUACUAACAGGUUCUGCUGAGGACUCUGACAAGACUGCCAUCGUAAGAUGUGAGGAAGGUGGGGAUGACGUCAAAUCAGCACGGCCCUUACGUCCGGGGCUACACACGUGUUACAAUGGGGGGUACAGAGGGCCGCUACCACGCGAGUGGAUGCCAAUCCCAAAAACCUCUCUCAGUUCGGACUGGAGUCUGCAACCCGACUCCACGAAGCUGGAUUCGCUAGUAAUCGCGCAUCAGCCACGGCGCGGUGAAUACGUUCCCGGGCCUUGUACACACCGCCCGUCAAGCCAUGGGAGCCGGGGGUACCUGAAGUGCGUAACCGCGAGGAGCGCCCUAGGGUAAAACUGGUGACUGGGGCUAAGUCGUAACAAGGUAGCCGUACCGGAAGGUGCGGCUG